GACGAACGCUGGCGGCGUGCUUAACACAUGCAAGUCGAACGGAAAGGCCCUUUCGGGGUGCUCGAGUGGCGAACGGGUGAGUAACACGUGGGUGAUCUGCCCUGAACUUUGGGAUAAGCCUGGGAAACUGGGUCUAAUACCGGAUAUGACCAGUGGGUGCAUGCUUGCUGGUGGAAAGCCUUGUGCGGUUUGGGAUGGGCCCGCGGCCUAUCAGCUUGUUGGUGGGGUAAUGGCCUACCAAGGCGACGACGGGUAGCCGACCUGAGAGGGUGAUCGGCCACACUGGGACUGAGACACGGCCCAGACUCCUACGGGAGGCAGCAGUGGGGAAUAUUGCACAAUGGGCGCAAGCCUGAUGCAGCGACGCCGCGUGAGGGAUGACGG
rnacentral:rRNA from 1 species